rnacentral:rRNA from 1 species
GACAGAGGUGCCGAGCGUUAGGCGGAAUCACUGGGCUUAAAGCGUGUGUAGGCGGGUCGUUAAGUGUCUUGUGAAAUCCCACCGCUCAACGGUGGAACGGCUGGGCAUACUGGCGACCUUGAGGGACCCAGGGGCGAGCGGAACAGACGGUGGAGCGGUGAAAUGCGUAGAUAUCGUCUGGAACGCCAAAGGUGAAAACAGCUCGCUGGGGUUGUGCUGACGCUGAGACACGAAAGCCAGGGGAGCGAACGGG